rnacentral:piRNA from 1 species
UGUGCAAGAUAGAGUGUGUUUCAUUUGU